rnacentral:rRNA from 1 species
UCAGUAACGGCGAGUGACCAGGGAAGAGCCCAACACUGAAGACUGUGGCCAGUUGGCUACUAGUCAAUGUGGUGUUUAGGUUGUUCCGGCGGAGUCGCUGCUCCACCCUAAGUCCAUGAAUGAGUAUGGUAAAUGGACAUGGCCCACAGAGGGUGACAGGCCCGUGGGGGUGGAGGUCAGGCAGGCCAGCGACGCCCUGGAUAGACCUUGGAGUCGGGUUGUUUGUGAUUGCAGCCCAAAGUGGGUGGUAAACUCCAUCUAAGGCUAAAUACUAGCACGAGUCCGAUAGCAAACAAGUACCGUGAGGGAAAGUUGAAAAGUACUUUGAAGAGAGAGUAAACAGUGCGUGAAACCGAUCAGAGGUAAGCGGGUGGAGUUGAACUGCAAGCUCUGAGAAUUCAGCUGGUGAGUGUGGUUUGAGCUUGGUCAAGUCAGUUGGACCCUGUGGUUCGCGAAGCACUUAACAAGUGUUGCGGGCCAUGGGUGUUCUUCGGGCUGACUCGCCGGUGCACUUUCUCAGAGUGGUCACCACGACCGGCAUCGCUGUCUGGCUGGUGGGGUUAAACCGGUUUUGCAAGGUCCUUGUGGCUCUGCUUGAUCGGGAUGGCAGGUAGCUCGUUGGCUUGCUUGCGGGCCUUCGAGUGUAAUCAGCUGACCACAUCGGUUCUGUGCAGUAUGUCGGAGACGGCGGCUAGUGCGCGUGCGUGCAUAGCUGGUCGGCGCGUCCGGGUUUGGUUGUUACGUGCCUGUUCAUUCAGGCCUGAUGAUGGCUCGGAUUCGUUCGGCUGGCUGUUGCGUGCGUGCACAAUACGGGGCCAAUAGUCUGUGGUGUAGUGGUAACUAU